rnacentral:lncRNA from 1 species
UCGAGAUUCUACUGAGAACUGCUUGACGAUCCUGCCUGAGGCGCUGCACUUAGGCCAGAGAACGGUGCAAACUUGAAGUGGUGGAAGGAGGGAGCAGCUCUGGAAGGGGAGAGUUCUGGAAGGAACUGGAAGGCACGCUCUGCCCUCCAGGUCCCCUCGUGGCCACGUGCGUGGAUGUGCGGUUCCCUUCUGCGGUGCUCCGCGUGUUAGCUGCAUGUGCGGGCUCGGAAUGCCUGCCCUUUGCUGGGCUCUGCGUCACCUCCGACCGUGGAGACAUCGCUCAGACCCGGGACUCCCUGGUCAUUGCUCAGCUGCACUUCCCUUGGAGGCAUGAACGGACACGCGGGGCCAGAGGAAUGACAUUGAUGGUGGCUUACAUUUCAAUAGAGGACCGCGGUGGGAGUUAAAAUCAUCAUUCAAAAAUACCUCUGCUGAUGAUACUCUGUGUUUCUCUCGUGCUGAAAGCCUGAAUGUCUCAUCCAGGACACAACAACAACAAACUAAUGAGGGUGGAAACAAAUGAAGAGCCCUGGGGCUCUCCACCUGCCCAUCCAGAUGCUGUUGCCCUCUGCUCUGAAUCCUGGCAAGCGGACCUCUAAGGGUCGCCUCACCUCUGGGUUCUGUUGGCUUCAGGCAAUCAGCACGAGCAGGCUUAUUUCAGGGACAGUGCUGGGGACUUCCUCACUGGCCUCUGCUCAGCACAUACUAUGUUCCUCCUUCUGGGAUCUUGGCUUCCUCCUGGAUGGCUCGUCUCCCUUGGCAAUAGAGCCCCUGAGUUCAGGUAUCAAUGCCGCUAAGUUUUAAAAUCGGGUCACAAGGAACGUCACCUACCCAGGCUGAGGUACGUAGUGAUUAACAGUUGUUCAGUGAACUAAAUAAACAGGAUAAGGGCUUUGUUUUAGUAGAGAGU